GCGUAUAUAGCUCAGUUGGUAGAGCACUGUCCUUCCAAGUCAGGUGUCGAGGUUCGAACCCCUUUAUACGCUCCA
rnacentral:tRNA from 1 species